GUCGAACGCUGGCGGCGUGCUUAACACAUGCAAGUGGUGCGACGAACCAGGCUUCGGCCUGGGGCGAAGCCGCGAACGGGUGAGUAACACGUGGGCAAUCUGCCCCUUUGAUCGGGACAACCCGGGGAAACCCGGGCUAAUACCGAAUGAGGUGGCGACUCAUGAGAGUCGUCACGAAAGGAAGCGUCGGCCGCCGCGAAGGGAUGAGCCCGCGGCCCAUUAGCUUGUUGGUGGGGUAAUGGCCUACCAAGGCAACGAUGGGUAGCUGGGCUGAGAGGACGAUCAGCCACACUGGGACUGAGACACGGCCCAGACUCCUACGGAGGCAGCAGUGGGGAAUAUUGCACAAUGGGCGCAAGCCUGAUGCAGCGACGCCGCGUGAGGGAUGACGGCCUUCGGGUUGUAAACCUCUUUCAGCACCGACGAAGCGCAAGUGACGGUAGGUGCAGAAGAAGGACCGGCCAACUACGUGCCAGCCGCCGCCGUAA
rnacentral:rRNA from 1 species